rnacentral:rRNA from 1 species
GAUGAACGCUGGCGGCGUGCCUAAUACAUGCCAGUCGAGCGAACAGACGAGGAGCUUGCUCCUCUGACGUUAGCGGCGGACGGGUGAGUAACACGUGGAUAACCUACCUAUAAGACUGGGAUAACUUCGGGAAACCGGAGCUAAUACCGGAUAAUAUAUUGAACCGCAUGGUUCAAUAGUGAAAGACGGUUUUGCUGUCACUUAUAGAUGGAUCCGCGCCGCAUUAGCUAGUUGGUAAGGUAACGGCUUACCAAGGCAACGAUGCGUAGCCGACCUGAGAGGGUGAGCGGCCACACUGGAACUGAGACAGGGUCCAGACUCCGACGGGAGGCAGCAGUAGGGAAUCGUUCGAAAGGGGCGAAAGCCUGACGGAGCAACGCCGCGUGAGUGAUGAAGGUCUUCGGAUCGUAAAACUCUGUUAUUAGGGAAGAACAAAUGUGUAAGUAACUAUGCACGUCUUGACGGUACCUAAUCAGAAAGCCACGGCUAACUACGUG